rnacentral:lncRNA from 1 species
UUUGUGUGUUGUUGGAACUUGGAAUGAAGUAGCAGGAGGUUUUGUUCUUUUGAAGGGAAGAAGAAAUGGUAUAUGGUAGAGAAUGAGGGACUUGGAUAUGAGAGAAAGAAAGAGUAUAACGUUGAAGAUGGAGUGGUGUGAAGGAAGAUUUUAUGAAGUUACAGCGGAGAGAGUUAUGUAAUGUCAGUGUGUAUGUGCCUCCACAAUGAAAACUCUUUUAUUUUUUUCUUUCAAAGCUCUGAGCUUCUACUUUUUCUUGUUGCAGCAGAGAGAGGGACGUGAGGGAUAUCUUUUGUGUUUUUGUCCGUUAGAGUCUUUAUUAUUUUUCUUUUUGUCCUUUUUGGCUCAGAGAGAGACGUUGGAGUGUGAGAGAGUUUUCGUUUCUCUCCUUUCUGACCGUUGGCGAGUCCAAAAGAAGAAGAGAUAUUUUCAAUUUUCUUUAUUAAUUAUGCAAUUAAUUUAAAUGCUAUUUUUUGAUUGGAUGAUAGAAAUGGACACAGAUUGCUAAUGAGGAGCAUUGAUCAAUUUGAAUUGAUGGCCUGGAUCAAAUCAAAGAAACACACCAAGAAGCACAUACUAUUUUAAAUAGAUUAAAAUGCAUAUAAUGUCUUUUUUUAAUGAUUUAAUUGAUUUAGAACAAUUUAAACCAAUUGAAUCAAAUAAAAUUCUCAACUUCUAAAAUGAGUAUGAAUAAAACAAAAUAAGGACAUGGAAAAUUCUAUUUAUUUAAUCUGAAUAUUUAGACGAAAGAAUAAAAUUAAAAUGACUAAAAAUGAAUAAAAGUCAGGUGAAAAUUUGCUCGAAAAAUUAAAUCGGAUGCAUGAAAAUGAUCAGUGAGGAAUAUACUUAUUGAAAAAAUGCAGCGUUUCUUCAAAUUUUGAAAUAAAUUUUCAUCGGUUAAAAGGCUCAGGCGGGUCAAAAUGCAACUUAAACAGUCGUUGAAGUGGUGGCUCAUGUUUUUCGGUGACAAAACGGUAUCUUGAAGUGGAGGCUUGGCGACCUCGUGGCGAUUUGCCCACUGUAGCAGACGAUGCAUUUGGAAUUUGUGUGAGGAUUUCGUCAGGGUUUGCGGAUGAAUAAUGGUAUGUCGUUGUGUUGUUUUAUGUAGGUGGAGGUUGGUUAGAUUGUGAGUGUUAGAUCGAUGAGAAGAUGAUGUAAGGUGGUGAGUAUGCACUUUGCAGAUGGAGGGAGAAGUUUGUAGUUUGUGUGUUGUUGGAACUUGGAAUGAAGUAGCAGGAGGUUUUGUUCUUUUGAAGGGAAGAAGAAAUGGUAUAUGGUAGAGAAUGAGGGACUUGGAUAUGAGAGAAAGAAAGAGUAUAACGUUGAAGAUGGAGUGGGGUGAAGGAAGAUUUUAUGAAGUUACAGCGGAGAGAGUUAUGUAAUGUGAGUGUGUAUGUGCCUCCACAAUGAAAACUCUUUUAUUUUUUUCUUUCAAAGCUCUGAGCUUCUUCUUUUUCUUGUUGCAGCAGAGAGAGGGACGUGAGGGAUAUCUUUUGUGUUUUUGUCCGUUAGAGUCUUUAUUAUUUUUCUUUUUGUCCUUUUUGGCUCAGAGAGAGACGUUGGAGUGUGAGAGAGUUUUCGUUUCUCUCCUUUCUGACCGUUGGCGAGUCCAAAAGAAGAAGAGAUAUUUUCAAUUUUCUUUAUUAAUUAUGCAAUUAAUUUAAAUGCUAUUUUUUGAUUGGAUGAUAGAAAUGGACACAGAUUGCUAAUGAGGAGCAUUGAUCAAUUUGAAUUGAUGGCCUGGAUCAAAUCAAAGAAACACACCAAGAAGCACAUACUAUUUUAAAUAGAUUAAAAUGCAUAUAAUGUCUUUUUUUAAUGAUUUAAUUGAUUUAGAACAAUUUAAACCAAUUGAAUCAAAUAAAAUUCUCAACUUCUAAAAUGAGUAUGAAUAAAACAAAAUAAGGACAUGGAAAAUUCUAUUUAUUUAAUCUGAAUAUUUUGACGAAAGAAUAAAAUUAAAAUGACUAAAAAUGAAUAAAAGUCGGGCGAAAAUUUGCUCGAAAAAUUAAAUCGGAUGCAUGAAAAUGAUCAGUGAGGAAUAUACUUAUUGAAAAAAUGCAGUGUUUCUUUAAAUUUUGAAAUAAAUUUUCAUCGGUUAAAAGGCUCAGGCGGGUCAAAAUGAAACUGAAACAGUCGCUGAAGUGGUGGCUCAUGAUUUUUCAGUGACGAAACUAUAUCUUGAAGUGGUGGCUUGGCGACCUCGUGGCGAUUUGCCCACUGUAGCAGACGAUGCAUUUGGAAUUUGCGUGAGGGUUUGCGGAUGAAUAAUGGUAUGUCGUUGUGUUGUUUUAUAUAGGUGGAGGUUGGUUAGAUUGUGAGUGUUAGAUCGAUGAGAAGAUGAUGUAAGGUGGUGAGUAUGCACUUUGCAGAUGGAGGGAGAAGUUUGUGGUUUGUGUGUUGUUGGAACUUGGAAUGAAGUAGCAGGAGGUUUUGUUCUUUUGAAGGGAAGAAGAAAUGGUAUAUGGUAGAGAAUGAGGGACUUGGAUAUGAGAGAAAGAAAGAGUAUAACGUUGAAGAUGGAGUGGGGUGAAGGAAGAUUUUAUGAAGUUACAGCGGAGAGAGUUAUGUAAUGUGAGUGUGUAUGUGCCUCCACAAUGAAAACUCUUUUAUUUUUUUCUUUCAAAGCUCUGAGCUUCUUCUUUUUCUUGUUGCAGCAGAGAGAGGGACGUGAGGGAUAUCUUUUGUGUUUUUGUCCGUUAGAGUCUUUAUUAUUUUUCUUUUUGUCCUUUUUGGCUCAGAGAGAGACGUUGGAGUGUGAGAGAGUUUUCGUUUCUCUCCUUUCUGACCGUUGGCGAGUCCAAAAGAAGAAGAGAUAUUUUCAAUUUUCUUUAUUAAUUAUGCAAUUAAUUUAAAUGCUAUUUUUUGAUUGGAUGAUAGAAAUGGACACAGAUUGCUAAUGAGGAGCAUUGAUCAAUUUGAAUUGAUGGCCUGGAUCAAAUCAAAGAAACACACCAAGAAGCACAUACUAUUUUAAAUAGAUUAAAAUGCAUAUAAUGUCUUUUUUUAAUGAUUUAAUUGAUUUAGAACAAUUUAAACCAAUUGAAUCAAAUAAAAUUCUCAACUUCUAAAAUGAGUAUGAAUAAAACAAAAUAAGGACAUGGAAAAUUCUAUUUAUUUAAUCUGAAUAUUUUGACGAAAGAAUAAAAUUAAAAUGACUAAAAAUGAAUAAAAGUCGGGCGAAAAUUUGCUCGAAAAAUUAAAUCGGAUGCAUGAAAAUGAUCAGUGAGGAAUAUACUUAUUGAAAAAAUGCAGCGUUUCUUUAAAUUUUGAAAUAAAUUUUCAUCGGUUAAAAGGCUCAGGCGGGUCAAAAUGCAUUUGAAAGAGUCGUUGAAGUGGUGGCUCAUGAUUUUUCGGUGACGAAACUGUAUCUUGAAGUGGAGGCUUGGCGACCUCGUGGCGAUUUGCCCACUGUAGCAGACGAUGCAUUUGGAAUUUGCGUGAGGAUUGCGUCAGGGUUUGCGGAUGAAUAAUGGUAUGUCGUUGUGUUGUUUUAUGUAGGUGGAGGUUGGUUAGAUUGUGAGUGUUAGAUCGAUGAGAAGAUGAUGUAAGGUGGUGAGUAUGCACUUUGCAGAUGGAGGGAGAAGUUUGUAGUUUGUGUGUUUUUGGAACAUGGAAUGAAGUAGCAGGAGGUUUUGUUCUUUUGAAGGGAAGAAGAAAUGGUAUAUGGUAGAGAGUGAGGGACUUGGAUAUGAGAGAAAGAAAAAGUAUAACGUUGAAGAUGGAGUGGGGUGAAGGAAGAUUUUAUGAAGUUACAACGGAGAGAGUUAUGUAAUGUGAGUGUGUAUGUGCCUCCACAAUUAAAACUCUUUUAUUUUUUUUCUUUCAAAGCUCUGAGCUUCUUCUUUUUCUUGUUGCAUCAGAGACAGGGACGUGAGGGAUAUCUUUUGUGUUUUUGUCCGUUAGUGUCUUUAUUAUUUUUCUUUUUGUCCUUU